rnacentral:rRNA from 1 species
CAUGGUUUAUUAGAUCGUGCGUUCUACUUGGAUAACUGUGGUAAUUCUAGAGCCAAUACAUGCAACUGGCCCUAACUUUACGGAGGGGCGCUUUUAUUAGAUCAAAAUCAAUCAGGUUUCGGCCUGUUUUUGUGAUGACUCUGGAUAACUUUGUGCCGACCGCAUGGCCUUGCGCCGGCGGUGUAUCUUUCAAAUGUCUGCCCUAUCAACUUUCGAUGGUAGGUGACAUGCCUACCAUGGUUGUAACGGGUAACGGAGAAUCAGGGUUCGAUUCCGGAGAGGGAGCCUGAGAAACGGCUGCCACA